rnacentral:lncRNA from 1 species
CCAAACCCCGUCGCCGAUCGGCCGCAAGCGAGGAGAAAGAUCCUCCCAUCCCGUAGCGCCGCCGCCUGCAUCCCCAUCGCCGCCGCACGCCGGAUCCGGAAGAGAGGAGGCCUGAUCACGGUCCGGCGCCACCGUUCGUGGCCGGAACCAGAGGAGAUCGACACCCCGUUCGGAUCGCCGUUCGGAGGAGAAGAGGAGGCCACGUGCACGGUCCUCCCGUCACCGUUCG